rnacentral:rRNA from 1 species
UGAACGCUAGCGGCAGGCCUAACACAUGCAAGUCGAACGGUAACAUAGAUUGCUUGCAAUCUGAUGACGAGUGGCGCACGGGUGCGUAACGCGUAUGCAAUCUACCUUUUACAGGAGAAUAGCCCAGAGAAAUUUGGAAUAAUGCUCCAUAAUAUCAUUUAUCAGCAUUGAUUUAUGAUUAAAGCUCCGGCGGUAAAAGAUGAGCAUGCGUUCUAUUAGCUAGUAGGUGAGGUAACGGCUCACCUAGGCAACGAUAGAUAGGGGCCCUGAGAGGGGGAUCCCCCACACUGGUACUGAGACACGGACCAGACUCCUACGGGAGGCAGCAGUGAGGAAUAUUGGACAAUGGAGGAAACUCUGAUCCAGCCAUGCCGCGUGCAGGAUGACUGCCCUAUGGGUUGUAAACUGCUUUUAUAUAGGAAGAAACACUCCCACGUGUGGGGGCUUGACGGUACUAUAGAAUAAGGAUCGG